AUGUAUUAUUUUAUAGGAUACCUCAAAAAAUCUAAGGGAUAUUACUUCUUCUUGCUAAAGAACAAGAGUUCUUCAGCAUUUCUUUUAGAAAAGGAAUACCAUGGUGAAGGAACUGAUGCCUUUAAUGUGAAACUUAUGAAGUUUGAUAGGUAGAAGAACCGACACAAUCUGAUGAACCCAUAGAAUCAAAUUUGAUUAGAUC
rnacentral:lncRNA from 1 species